UAUGUAUUUGAUCAGUUUCCAGACCUUAAUCAACCCAGACUUAACAAAGCGCGGUGAUGGCUACACAAGCAGCUAUGGUGCUCCUGGCAGAGGACCACCUCCAGGACCUCCACCAAGAAGAAUGGGAAGGAUCCACCGAGGAGGCGGUGCUGCUCCCCCACCCAUGGGAGGGGGAGGAUGAGGCAGGUAAAUCCCUCAGUUGGGCUUUGUGCCAUGCCCACUGAGGGAGCCUGUAACUUGUGGUGAUCUUUGCUGUUGUUGCUUUGCACUCACAGGCUUCUGGCAAGAAGUACAGAUGGAGUUCUGUAUUGUUUUGCUGUGCAGAACUUAGUACAGACUUAAAUGCAUAGUGGCAUUCACAGGAAAAAAAAUAGUGCCAAGCUCCAUUCAGAAAUAGGUCUAGGUUCCCGGGACUGUGAGUAACAGAGCGAUGUUUAUAUGACGUGACACUUGAGAAACCAUUAACUUGGGCAGGUGUUGCUGAAGAACCAGCAUGGAUCACCACGCCAUGCCAAUAGAAAACUCGUGAGGAAUAAGAAUUUACAUAUUACUUGUGUUGAUGUUCACAUCAUGGUAUGCAUUACCGUCUUUACCUUCUUUUCAUUCCUAGUGAAAUGUUAUGUAAGUGACACAGAGUAUUUAAGUAUUAUAUAUUAAACAUUAUGUUUGUCAGUAGAAUUAUUUAUGUAAUUUUGACGAAUACCACACGUACAGCAUAUCACACCUGAAAUGUGUUUUACACCUUUUGGAUGUGGUAGCUAUCACAUGGAGUGGCAGUUGUGCUAAAGACAGGGAAGGAAUAGAACCUUGUUUGGAUAGCAUAUUUUCACAUUUUUCAACAUUGUAUUAUUUGGUCUUUUAUAUGUUCUGCAGUUAUAGAUGAAUCAUAAUUUAGAAAAUUAGCAUCAUAAUACUUUUUGUUAUAUUUUGCAACUGCCAAACGUUGAAUAGAUAUACUUAUCCCAUUUUUUUCAUACAUGGGAAUUGAUAAGGUAUCACGAAAAGCCUUCCAUUGUCAGGACAAUCUUGAAUAAACCAUUCUGGAUAAAA